AUAACAACGAUAAGGGCGACCGAGAGGUCGCCCAUUUUGUAUCCCCUUAACACUUUUGGUUUGGCCGCCGAUCAGUUAAGAAGGGUGCAAAUUCUGGCGUUACGCAUAGCUGGCUGUUAGCUCUAUUCCUUACUAUCAACGACUAACAGUUUUUGUAACCAAAACCUGAGCAUAGCUCAGGUUUUUUUAU
rnacentral:sRNA from 1 species